AUGAACCUGGGAGGCGGAGAUUGCAGUGAGCCGAGAUCGCGCCACUGCACUCUAGCCUGGGCAACAGAACGAAACUCCGUCUCAAAAAAAAAAAAUACAAAUACAUAUUUUCUGUUUUUUAUAUUAACUGGCAUGUCUUUCACGCAGCAAGUCCACUUCAGACCGGGCGCACUUUAUGUGCUCAGCCGCCUCAUGUGCUGCAAUUCCGUCUCGCUGACAGGAGGCUUCGAGGGACUGGCAACACCCCACGUUCCUGCAUUCCAGGGAAACAGAAGAAUAACUGGAUUAAGAGUCCAGGCUUUGGCAUCAGAAUCCCAGCUCUGCCACUUACUCACACUGAGUAAGUUCUCAAAUCCCUCGAAGCCUCCCCCUUGCAUCGUCCGUAAAAUGGGAGCAAUACUGGAGAGCUGCCCUGAGAGUCACAUACGACGAAAUAUACAAAGCAAACUACUAGGUCCUGGGCACACAGCCACACUCAGUGAUGGCUGCUUUUAUAAAUACCUUGAAGCAACGGAUUUGUUGCCAAUUUCCAAACCUAAAAAGCCCGAAAGGAUUAGACUGUUGACACAUCCCACCUCAUCCUCCGGUGCGGACGACACAGAUUCCUAGAGCGGCAGGACCACGGAGCACACAUGUCCUGCAGCCGCCUGGGAUUUAAACACACCCAUUUCACACAAAACUGCUGUCAUAACUUGCUAAAAUCUCUUUGGGCAAGCAUAAUUUAUCCAGUGUGUCCUGGGAGCUAGAAAUCACUCCUUCACACAAAAAGGAAAGAAGUCCCACCCUGUAAAAAGACAGCUCUGAGAAGACUAUGCCUUAUUAAACACAGCUACUUUCCUUUCCCAUGACAUUCUCAAUGUUGCAGAUCUCAGGCCUCAGCAGUAAGUUGGUUUUACUGGAUGCUGUAUUUACAUUUUUUGGUGUUGUGGGGAGGGAGAAGGGGCAAGGUAGGGACAAUGAAACCCAGCUACCGUUAUUCCCAGCUAGACAUUGAGAUUGACAUGUAGAAGAGGACCUGGUAUGGCCUGGCGCCUGCUGUGGGCCUCAUGGCUUGAGAGCAAGCCUCUCACUCUCCACCCCCUGCUCCCUGACAGACAGAGGAGAGGUCCCUCGGAGAUUUUUCUUCAGAUUGGGAAGGAACAUGAGCAUGAGGACAGAGGGACAGGGGAAAGGAUGGAGGACGAUCAUCCACCUACAAAGUCGGGGUCUUACUGCAAACUUUAUAGACAACCAUGUCAUUUAAGCAUUCCACAAGCACUGUCAUCCUCGUUUCACAGAUGACAGCCUCAGCAAGUCCCAGACGCCUGCCAAAGGGCUAGACUGCUGGCAACAAAGUCAUAAUGCAUAACCACCUGGCCCAGCGGUGCCAGCCCACCCCUGACUACGGGAGACGCUUCAGACUCCCCAGCAGGGAGAAUGUCACAGCCCUGCUGAAGGGGGAGGACGACAACUAGAAGAAACCAACGUCCACGUCACUUCCAGGAUCUGAACAGUCACACUGGACCACCCCUAGGUGAGAAGUGGACGGUCUAUCUCGGAUGCCAGGCCACAGGGAGUGGUUACAAC
rnacentral:lncRNA from 1 species